AUGCAAGUCGAAGCGAACAGAAGGGGAAGCUUGGCUCCCGGAUGUUAGCGGCGGACGGGUGAGUAACACGUGGGUAACCUGGCCUGUAAGAACUGGGAUAACUCCGGGAAACCGGAGCUAAUACCGGAUAGUUCCUUGAACCGCAUGGUUCAAGGAUGAAAGACGGUUUCGGCUGUCACUUACAGAUGGACCCGCGGCGCAUUAGCUAGUUGGUGGGGUAAUGGCUCACCAAGGCGACGAUGCGUAGCCGACCUGAGAGGGUGAUCGGCCACACUGGGACUGAGACACGGCCCAGACUCCUACGGGAGGCAGCAGUAGGGAAUCUUCCGCAAUGGACGAAAGUCUGACGGAGCAACGCCGCGUGAGUGAUGAAGGUUUUCGGAUCGUAAAGCUCUGUUGUUAGGGAAGAACAAGUGCGAGAGUAACUGCUCGCACCUUGACGGUACCUAACCAGAAAGCCACGGCUAACUACGUGCCAGCAGCCGCGGUAAUACGUAGGUGGCAAGCGUUGUCCGGAAUUAUUGGGCGUAAAGGGCUCGCAGGCGGUUUCUUAAGUCUGAUGUGAAAGCCCCCGGCUCAACCGGGGAGGGUCAUUGGAAACUGGGAAACUUGAGUGCAGAAGAGGAGAGUGGAAUUCCACGUGUAGCGGUGAAAUGCGUAGAGAUGUGGAGGAACACCAGUGGCGAAGGCGACUCUCUGGUCUGUAACUGACGCUGAGGAGCGAAAGCGUGGGGAGCGAACAGGAUUAGAUACCCUGGUAGUCCACGCCGUAAACGAUGAGUGCUAAGUGUUAGGGGGUUUCCGCCCCUUAGUGCUGCAGCUAACGCAUUAAGCACUCCGCCUGGGGAGUACGGUCGCAAGACUGAAACUCAAAGGAAUUGACGGGGGCCCGCACAAGCGGUGGAGCAUGUGGUUUAAUUCGAAGCAACGCGAAGAACCUUACCAGGUCUUGACAUCCUCUGACAACCCUAGAGAUAGGGCUUUCCCUUCG
rnacentral:rRNA from 1 species